rnacentral:rRNA from 1 species
AUUGAACGCUGGCGGCAGGCCUAACACAUGCAAGUCGAGCGGAUGAAGGGAGCUUGCUCCUGGAUUCAGCGGCGGACGGGUGAGUAAUGCCCAGGAAUCUGCCUGGUAGUGGGGGAUAACGUCCGGAAAAGGGCGCUAAUACCGCAUACGACCUGAGGGUGAAAGUGGGGGAUCUUCGGACAUCACGCUAUCAGAUGAGCCUAGGUCGGACUAGCUAGUUGGUGGGGUAAAGGCCUACCAAGGCGACGAUCCGUAACUGGUCUGAGAGGAUGAUCAGUCACACUGGAGCUGAGACACGGUCCAGAGUCCUACGGGAGGCAGCAGUGGGGAAUAUUGGACAAUGGGCGGAAGCCUGAUCCAGCCAUGCCGCGUGUGUGAAGAAGGUCUUCGGAUUGUAAAGCACUUUAAGUUGGGAGGAAGGGCAGUAAGUUAAUACCUUGCUGUUUUGACGUUACCAACAGAAUAAGCACCGGCUAACUUCGUG